rnacentral:rRNA from 1 species
UACGGAGGGUGCAAACGUUUGCUCGGAAUCAUUGGGCGUAAAGCGCACGUAGGCGGCCUGUUAAGUCGGAUGUGAAAGCCCUGGGCUCAACCCCGGAACUGCCUUUGAUACUGAUAGUCUCGAGUCCGGAAGAGGUGAGUGGAAUUCCGAGUGUAGAGGUGAAAUUCGUAGAUAUUCGGAGGAACACCAGUGGCGAAGGCGGCUCACUGGUCCGGUACUGACGCUGAGGUGCGAAAGCGUGGGGAGCAAACAGG